GUAGGUGAACCUGCGGAAGGAUCAUUACAGAAUAAACAUGAUGGGUUGUUGCUGGCUCAGUCUUCUGGGCAUGUGCACACUUGUCGUAUUUAUCUUUCCACCAUGUGCACCCCGCGUAGGACUGAAGAAUUGUUGAUUUGAUCAGAGCUUGCUUUGAUUAUUUGGAAUUUGCCGUAACCCUUACGGCUUUUUCUGACUUCAGCGCCUAUGAUUUAUUUAAAUACACCAAUGCAUGUUAAUGAACGUUAUA
rnacentral:misc_RNA from 1 species